AAUAAAGUUCAUUUUGAUUUAGUUUUUGCUUAUCCUCGAUUCUUCCAUGACAAGCUUCACCUGCAUCUCUGACACCGCCAGAAGCACAAUGCUGAUCCUGAAGCUCUCUCUACUCACGUUGCUGACUGUAGGUCCCGGCUUGCUUGUUUAUGCAGAGACCCAGGUGACAUGUCAAGGCGACAAUGCUGUGCUGAUAUGUGGUUUGUAUAGGCGCUGUUUUUCUUAGACAUACCUCAAAG
ensembl:lncRNA